rnacentral:rRNA from 1 species
UACGUAGGGUGCAAGCGUUAAUCGGAAUUACUGGGCGUAAAGCGUGCGCAGGCGGCUUUGCAAGACAGAUGUGAAAUCCCCGGGCUUAACCUGGGAACUGCAUUUGUGACUGCAUGGCUGGAGUGCGGCAGAGGGGGAUGGAAUUCCGCGUGUAGCAGUGAAAUGCGUAGAUAUGCGGAGGAACACCGAUGGCGAAGGCAAUCCCCUGGGCCUGCACUGACGCUCAUGCACGAAAGCGUGGGGAGCAAACAGGA